rnacentral:rRNA from 1 species
AUGGCCUCUGCCCUCCACACCGGCAAACACUGCUCAGCAGUAAGGAUCAUGAUGACUGUCCGGCUGAGCACAGGGAAUGCGACGGUCACCGUCGCACGCUACAUGGCAGGGCGCAGCUUUAAGGCUCAGGCGAAGCAGAGCUUCACCAGGGAAGUCCAUGCCGUGGCGCUCACCGGAGAAGAUCUUCGCCUGAUGGAUGACCCUGGACCUUUUUUCUUUUCUUUACGGGAAGCUGGCUCUCGACCUUCUGGUUCUCUUUUCUUAGUUGUUCUUUGUACUAGGCUGGGCAGGCCAAAGCCCAGUUUAUAUUUGCUCGGCCUAAAAAAAUGA